rnacentral:rRNA from 1 species
UACGUAGGGAGCAAGCGUUGUCCGGAAUCAUUGGGCGUAAAGCGCGCGUAGGUGGCCAUGUAAGUCCGCUGUGAAAGUCAAAGGCUCAACCUUUGAAAGCCGGUGGAUACUGCAUGGCUAGAGUACGGAAGAGGCGAGUGGAAUUCCUGGUGUAGCGGUGAAAUGCGCAGAUAUCGGGGAAGAACACCCGUGGCGAAGGCGGCUCUCUGGGGACGGUACUGACGCUGAGACGCGAAAGCGUGGGGAGCGAACAGG